rnacentral:rRNA from 1 species
CCCCUUCGGGGGUACUCGAGCGGCGAACGGGUGAGUAACACGUGAGUAAUCUGCCCUGGACUUUGGGAUAGCCACCGGAAACGGUGAUUAAUACCGGAUACGACGACUCCACGCAUGUGGUGGUCGUGGAAAGUUUUUCGGUUCAGGAUGUGCUCGCGGCCUAUCAGCUUGAUGGUGGGGUAAUGGCCUACCAUGGCUUCGACGGGUAGCCGGCCUGAGAGGGUGACCGGCCACACUGGGACUGAGACACGGCCCAGACUCCUACGGGAGGCAGCAGUGGGGAAUAUUGGACAAUGGGCGGAAGCCUGAUCCAGCAACGCCGCGUGAGGGAUGACGGCCUUCGGGUUGUAAACCUCUUUCAGUACCGACGAAGCGAAAGUGACGGUAGGUACAGAAGAAGCACCGGCCAACUACGUGCCAGCAGCCGCGGUAAUACGUAGGGUGCGAGCGUUGUCCGGAAUUAUUGGGCGUAAAGGGCUCGUAGGCGGUUUGUCGCGUCGGGAGUGAAAACACUGGGCUUAACUCAGUGCUUGCUUCCGAUACGGGCAGACUAGAGGUAUGCAGGGGAGAACGGAAUUCCUGGUGUAGCGGUGAAAUGCGCAGAUAUCAAGAGGAACACCGGUGGCGAAGGCGGUUCUCUGGGCAUUACCUGACGCUGAGGAGCGAAAGUGUGGGGAGCGAACAGGAUUAGAUACCCUGGUAGUCCACACCGUAAACGUUGGGCGCUAGGUGUGGGAUCC